rnacentral:lncRNA from 1 species
CGGUUUGCACCAGCCAUACCCAGGUAUUGAGCUCUCCAAAACAAAGAGCUGUUUCAUACCUCUAUUGUCCUUCCGUUCUGUCUUCCAGGGCCUGGUGAGGCCUCAGCAGCUCGUGGGAAGAGUCUACCAUCUCCAUCACUGUGCCCUGCCCAUAUCUUCUUUGUAACAGCCCUUCAGUAUGUGUGUGUAACUGCAGGUCGCCUAGUGACUGUGUGUAUGCAGAGCUCACUCAUCUUUGCGUCCUCGGGGCCCAGAACAAAAGCCAUGAAGUUUCUGAAAAGCAACAUCAGCUCCAAGGAAGAGGUAUUACCAGACAGAGAAUGUACAGAACAAAAUAGUACAUGAGUUUUUGGUGUUAGUCCUUUUGGAAAACAAAGUGGAUUCUGCUGUGCCCUUGGAGUCUCCAUAGGCCAAACACGUCAGAAAUGGACCACAGUGUGGAAGAUUUAAUCUUAUCACCAACCCUCUCAAGUCACAAAAUGAUUCUGACUCUCCUCAGAAUACUAAACAUUAAGUAAUCUUCUACAUUCCAUGAGGAUCCUGCUGAGGUUGGAGUGGACAAUCUUAACUCCUGGAAGUGUUUCUGUGAGGCCUCACAUACUCCCUACUGACCAGAGAGCGGUUGUAGUCAGAAAAUCAGUCACAAAUCACCAUCUCAGAGCAGGGGCCCUCGGUUAAAAAGAUCAGAGAAAUUAGCUUACAGUUGUCUUUACAUACCCUGU